UGGUGUGUUUGGAGACUGAAGUCUUCUGUUUAUCCAUGAAACGGAUAUGGUACAGGAAUUGGCAGUGCACACCCACCACAAAGCUCAUGGCCAGUGUGGCUCUGCCUGGGCCUCAACUGUGGCUCCAGGUUUGAGGAGGUAGCUCAGUCUCCUCAGCCUUCUUUGUGAGCU
rnacentral:sRNA from 1 species